rnacentral:ncRNA from 1 species
GCGUUGAAGCGGGAGGUUGCCACACAUCUGUGUGGGUUUUUCCGUGGAGUAUGUCCGAUUUUAAACCGGGCGACA